AAUUUGAUACAAUACCAAAGCAAAAAUAAUCGAAAAACAAAUAUACCACCGCAUACUAAUAAGUAAGACAUAACAGAUAACCAAAUUCUUGAAUUUUAAAACAAAUUUCAACUCGAGCAUUUAGUGAAUAUCAAAUUAACUAAUAUCCCGCCCGUAGGGCGGGCCGACCCUAGUUAUUUUAUAAAAAUAAGUCAAAAUCGAAAUGAGGUCAAAUCACUAAUGUAGUAAUGUUUAAGAAAUGUUCAUUAGACAUGAUUAUUUGGAUAUAUACAAUCUAUUUAGAGUUUAGACAUGAACAAACCAAUUGAUUUCGACAUAUCUAAUUUAUUAUUUGAAUUAUGUGGAUAAAUUCAUUUGACCAUGGUUCUAUUUGGAUUUGAUCAUGUUUGGGUAUGUUCAAAGUUCAAAUCAUCAAUGUUCAUAAUCACAAAAAUGUCUAUCUAUACAAACCCAUCUAGAUGUAAGAUGUGUACGAGCCUUGAAAAAUGCAAAACCACCUUAAGCUAAACCUAGUUACCAGUUUUUCGAGGACGGUAAUGAUAAGGAUGUAGAUUAUUUUUUCCUGAUAAUCGUGGUGUGAUUUCAAAGAUUUUCUAAAUCUAAAGACUAAUCACUACAAAACUUCCAGAAAUUCGGAUUUUUUGCCAUUUAAAACAUUUGGGAAUGACCGGAUUCAGAACUAAGGUGACGAAACUCACAACUAUGAACCAUUUAUCAUCAGAACUAGAGGCCUCGGUUACAAGGAUGUACCCAUUAUACUUUACACAAAGCUUAAUUAAGCAGUGAAACUAAAUGGUUUUGGUCAUAUAUAACUUGAUAGGUUGUCAUUGGAAUGGAUGUGGCUGCAUCUGAGUUCUACACAUCAGACAAGACCUACGACUUGAACUUCAAAGAAGAGGUAAAGUAGUCUUGUUUACCUUAGAAACCCUAAACUUUCUUGAGAAGCAAUCAAGAACAUUGCUCUCAUUGUCUAUCUCCUGGCCUAUUUUGUGUAUUUUCAGAACUAUGAUGGCUAGCAAAAGAUUUCUGGAGAUGCUCUCAAGGACCUGUACAAGUCAUUCCUUGCAGAGUACCAAAUUGUAUCCAUUGAAGACCCAUUUGACGAAGACGACUGGAAGCACUAUGCCAAGAUAACCCGCGAGGUGGGAGAGAAGUAUCAGAUUGUAGGUGAUGAUCUGUUGGUCACCAACCCCAAGGUCUGCCACAACUAAUCAAGUAGAACUUACUCUUCGUCCAAAGUGGUUAUAUAUCUCUAACACUCUUUCUUGUGCAGAUGGUUGAGAAGACAAUCAAAGAAAAGUCAUGCAAUGCUCUUCUUUUAAAGGUUAACCAAAUAGGAUCUGUAACGGAGAGUAUUGAGGCGGUUAAGAUGGCCAAGAGAGCUGGUUGGGGAGUGAUGGCCAGCCACCGUCGUGGAGAGACCGAGGACACCUUCCUUGCUGACUUAUCUGUUGGUUUGUCAACCGUAAGUCACCCAACAUUACAAUAAAAUGUUGAAGUCUGUUUUGAAAUAAAAAUAUUGAAGUCUAGUGUGUAUUGUUGUUAUAUCAUCACAGGGGCAAAUCAAGACCGGAGCUCCAUGCAGAUCAGAGCGUCUUGCCAAAUACAAUCAGGUUUAGUGUACAAAGGAUGUUUUCUUGAUUGAUCUGACAAUGAUCACAGAGUAUUCAUCAAACUGAUCCUCAUGUAAUGUUUGUGAAAGCUGUUGAGAAUUGAGGAGGAGCUUGGAGCAGAGGCAGUGUAUGCAGGAGUCAAUUUCCGCAAGCCUGUGAAGCCAUACUAAUGAGAGAAUCAAAUGGAGCUGAGAGUUUGAUGAUGUGAAGAUUUGAGUUUUUGUUUUUGAAAAUAAAGAGAGUUGUUUUCAUGUGAUGUACCAGCGGCUACAUCCACUUAACCACUCCGCACACCUGCACUUUUUAUUUGCAAUCAGCCUUAAAAAGUAUAUCAGUGGUAUACUUUGGCAUUAUGUUUUGUUCUCUUAUUAUAAUAAAAAUCUUUGUGUAGAUUGUCCUUU